rnacentral:rRNA from 1 species
UACGAAGGGGGCGAGCGUUGUUCGGAUUUACUGGGCGUAAAGGGCGCGCAGGCGGCGCAUUUUGUCAGGCGUGAAAGCCCCGGGCUUAACCUGGGAACUGCGUUUGAUACGGAUGGGCUAGAGUUCGGGAGAGGAGAGUGGAAUUCCCAGUGUAGCGGUGAAAUGCGCAGAUAUCAGGAGGAACACCAAUGGCGAAGGCAGCACUCUGGGACGGUACUGACGCUGAGACGCGAAAGCGUGGGGAGCAAACAGG